CACGAAAUCUUACAUCGACCGCCAAAACAGUUCCCCGCUGUCCCAACUUCCAGAAAGAAAGGGGGACAAAAUUUGCAAACUAGAAACCUAACCUCACCUGGAUUUUCUCCCUCAUUUUCUUCAUUUCUCUUUCUUUCUUCCAUUUUUCUCCAUUGCUAACCACUUUCGCCAUGUCCAAUAGGACCCUAUGCAAAUUCUUUAAGCAUGGAGCAUGUUUGAAAGGGGAUCAUUGUGAAUACGCGCACGACUGGAAUGCCCCGGCAAAUAAUGUAUGCACUUUUUAUCAGAGAGGAGCCUGUGCUUAUGGCAGUCGUUGCAGAUACGAUCAUGUUAAAGUUUCUCAGCUACCGUCUUCUGCUUCAUCGUCUUCAACUGGUUACUUUGGAACAGACAGUCCUGGUGUAACUGUGAAUGGAUUGGCUCCAGUCGCUAGCGUUUCACCGGAAGUGUCGCCUUUGAACAGACAAGUACUUCCUUCCAAUAAAGCAGCAUGGAAUCAGCAAUCUGGGGUUUCUGAUGCUUUAGAAGAUGAUUUAAUUGCUCAUCCUAGAAGUGAUAGACUGGUUGAUCAAGUUAUGUGCUCAUUUGCUGCUGCCGGUAACUGUCCUAAGGGGGAUAAGUGUCCUCACAUUCAUGGGGACUUGUGCCCAACUUGUGGAAAACACUGCCUGCAUCCUUUCAGGCCCAAAGAAAGGGAGGAACAUUCUAAAACCUGUGAGAAAAUGCAGAAGCACCUUGAAGCACUGAAACGAAGUCAAGAGAUAGAGUGCAGUGUGUGCUUAGAACGUGUGCUCUCAAAGCCCACAGGUGAUCGGAAGUUUGGUUUGCUGUCAGAAUGUGACCAUCCAUUUUGUGUAACUUGUAUCAGGAAUUGGCGUAACAGUUCACCAAGCUCUGGAAUGGAUGUUAAUGCUACAUUGAGGGCCUGCCCUAUAUGUCGUAAACUUUCAUAUUUUGUAAUACCAAGUGUGCUUUGGUAUUUCUCAAAAGAGGAGAAGGAUGAGAUUGUUGACAGUUAUAUGGCCAAACUUAAGUCCAUCGACUGCAAGUACUUUGACUUUGGAAAUGGUACAUGUCCUUUUGGAGCUAGUUGUUUUUACAAGCAUUCAUAUCGCGAUGGCACUGUCGAGGAAGUCGCAUUACGUCAUCUUGGAGCUGCUGAUGGUGAGACUGUAAUAGCUAAAAAUAUUAGGCUUGCAGACUUCCUCAGAAAUUUGCGUAUAAGCUGAAAGGAGUUUGGGAAAGCUUCCAGUGUUUGUAUGAAUCUUAGGAAACAUGUAAAUUCUGGAAUAUAUGAAAUCUUAAUAUCAGAACCCGGUGCACCUGAGUGUUGAUUGUUGGGUAAAAUUUUGCAGGACUGACCUCAGGCAUGAUUAACUGUAUUGAAGAAUUACACAAGUUACAUAAAGAUCAUACUUCUCCAGGUCCAUGGGUGGCCUGUCAUAAAGUAUCCUUCUACAAAAGAUGGUAUAAAUGAAAAGGAUGUUGUAGUGUGAGUUGCAGUAACAUUAUUUUGUACAUGAUUUUUGCUGGUUAUGGUCCCAGCUGUUACAAGCUAUUUAAGUUUCUGUUUUGGGAUGAUGAGUGUAACGAUCGAGAUAUUUUUCAUGCCUGGAACUGGAAAGAUCUAAUAGCAGCUUUGCCAUACAAAUCAUCUUUUAGGUGCGGUGUGUCGGGAUGAACAAUUUGAAGUAUGAUUGUUGUAUUGAUAGAAGCCAGUUUUUUUAAUUGGCAAGUCUUGAGAAAGAACUCAAGUGUCUGAUUUUUUUUGUACAGUAUAAUAUUGUAAUAAAUUAUGAUAACAGUAUUUAGUCUUUUCUUUUGUUCUGGCAAUGUUACUCAAGGGGAUCAAGGGAUGUACGCAAGUAGAUAAUGCUGGGGCAAGGUCAUUCAGGGUGAUUGGUAAGUUUUGCCAAUCAAGUGGACAAAAACUGACAAAUGUUAUUGUUCGUGUUAAUUGAUGUAUAUUCUUGAUUGCAUAUUUCACACAUGUGUGCAAUUUUGAUA